rnacentral:rRNA from 1 species
UACGAAGGGGGCUAGCGUUGCUCGGAAUCACUGGGCGUAAAGCGCACGUAGGCGGCUUUUUAAGUCAGGGGUGAAAUCCUGGAGCUCAACUCCAGAACUGCCUUUGAUACUGGGAAGCUUGAGUCCGGGAGAGGUGAGCGGAACUCCGAGUGUAGAGGUGAAAUUCGUAGAUAUUCGGAAGAACACCAGUGGCGAAGGCGGCUCACUGGCCCGGUACUGACGCUGAGGUGCGAAAGCGUGGGGAGCAAACAGG